GUACAAACACACUGAUGUAUUCUCUGCCGUGGGGCGCAACGGUUGACUCUGAAUUUGGAAGUAACUGAAGCAAACAGAGCUCCAGCUUCAAUUAAGCAGGUCAAGGCAGUGAUCAUUAAUCAGCAGACUGCUUGGACUUGACAAGAACUGAUGGUCUUCAUCAUGGUUCGAGUCUUAUCUUCUGCAGCAGCACAUUUACAGUUAUUAUGUAGACCUCCACCUUCUGCCUCUUGACGUUGUUGGCCCACUCCUCCAGCAGCUGCGCUUUGAUGAUGGGCUCCAGGGAGGCCAGAGGAACCUCCUGACGGGGCAGAACCAUCAUCAUGCUCAUGUCUUCACCUUCAUAGAGCAUCUCCAGCACCUGGUACACUCCACCCGCCUCUGUGGUGCCGUCGCUGAACUCUCCUGAGGAUGAAGUGUCUCCCUGCUCCACAUUUCCCUUCAAUCGGUCUUUCUCUUUCUCUGUUUUGUCAGAGAGAUGGAUGAGACAAGCGCACUGCAGCUAUUCUGCGGGAUCUGAAAGACUCGGCCCGACCAAUCAGCAGUGAGCCAUGGCGAAACUAUAUAUACACUAUCGUUUGUGAAAAAAGUCUCUUCUACUCACCAAGACUAUAUCAUUUAUUUGAUCAAAAACAAAACAGUGAUAUUGUGAAAUAUUAUUACAAUUUAAAAUAACAGUUUUCUAUUAGAAUAUAUUUUAAAAUGUAAUUUAUUCCGGUGAUGAAAAGCUGCAUUUUCCGCAUCAUUACUCCAGUCUUCAGUGUCACAUGAUCCUUCAGAAAUCAUUCUAAAAUGCUGUUUUGCUGCUCAAGAAACAAGAAACAUGGUAAAAACAGUUGUGCUGCCUUAUAUUCUUGUGGAAACCGUGAUGCAUUUAUUUUUUCAGAAUUCUUUGAUAAUGAAAAGUUUUAAAAACUGAAUUUAUUUGAAUUAUUUUAAAACAUUAUAAUAGUCUUCACUCUUACUUUUGAUCAAUUUAAUGCAUCCUUGCCAAAUUUCUUUCAAAAAAUAAAAACAAUAACAUGUACUGACCCAAAACUUUUGAACGGUUGUGUGUGUGUAGCUGAAUAGAAUAAAAUAUUAAAAUUAUUAUUUGUACAGCUAGAGGGAGCUUUGAUCAGGCCUAUAUAAUAACCUUUGAAAUUUUAUUUUAAACUUUCAGAACUUUUUAAGUCAGCCUUCAAAUUUUGUCUUGACUAGCUUUCCUUGUCAGCUUAAACCCUCUGCAGUCAUUCUGUAGGAAAGCGAAAAACAAAACAAAUAAUCAAAAAACU